rnacentral:rRNA from 1 species
GACAGGGGGUGCAAGCGUUGCUCGGAAUCACUGGGCGUAAAGCGCGCGUAGGCGGUCUCGUAAGUCGGGUGUGAAAGCCCUCAGCCUAACUGAGGAACUGCGCCCGAUACUGAGAGUCUCGAGUCCGGGAGAGGUGAGUGGAACUGCGAGUGUAGAGGUGAAAUUCGUAGAUAUUCGCAAGAACACCAGUGGCGAAGGCGGCUCACUGGCCCGGUACUGACGCUGAGGUGCGAAAGCGUGGGGAGCAAACAGG